AGCAGGCCCAGCCGCCCCGCAAACAAGAUGAAGUACAAACCACCACGUGAGAGGGAGAGAGGGAGGUACAGGGGAGAACCGCAGGCCCAGCCUGUACCCCUCAACCCAGACCUAGGGAACCUGGGCUUCCAAGGCAUUUGCAGCAGAACCUGGUGUAGCUGACUGCAUAGACCCUGGAGCCCCUUCACUUGGGAAUGAGCUGGAAGGUGACAACCCAACUGAAAUCACAUCACGCAGCUGCUGUGGUACAAUGUGACAGGUGACAUGUCGCAUCUUCAGGACCUCAGUCUCCCCCAUUUCCACCCCAGAGGACCAGAGAUGGCCUGCCAUCUAGGACCCACCCAUGAAAGAACCAGAACAAAUGAAGAAGUGGAGUGAGAAAUGUUCCUGGGAAGAAAAACCUGGAAUGUACAGCUACUGAAGAGGAACCCAAAGCUUAAUCACAGACUCCUAACAUCAAAAUAAAGGGAACCAGAUAGCAGCAUUAAAAAUCUCACUCGCCACACAGGGCGGUAUUCACCAGCAAUCUUAGCAUUUUGGAGAUGGAACCUGGAGGAUCGGGAGUUAAAACUCAUCUCCAGAUACAUAAUGGGUUCUAGGCUACCUGAGACUCUGUUUCAAAUAAUAAACAAGUCUCCCCCAUACCAGAAGGCUUAUCAAUCCUGUUUCCAGAACCAAUUCCUUGCCAUGCAUCAAAAGCAUGAUCAGGCAGGGCCAGCAAGAUGGUUCUCUGGGUAAAGUACUUAUGACCUAGGUUAGAUCCCUGGAAUACAGAUAAAGGUUUCCAUAAAGACAAUGGAUUCUGUAAAGUUGUCCUCUGACCUUCCAAUGAUCCUUCAUUGGCAAUAUAUACACACGUGUAUACACAAUGAUAAAUAAAUAAUUUUAAAGUUG
rnacentral:lncRNA from 1 species